rnacentral:piRNA from 1 species
UAAUAUGGUGAGGUAUUGCUGUGAGGCGGU